AGAGUUUGAUCAUGGCUCAGAUUGAACGCUGGCGGCAGGCCUAACACAUGCAAGUCGAGCGGAUGAAGGGAGCUUGCUCCUGGAUUCAGCGGCGGACGGGUGAGUAAUGCCUAGGAAUCUGCCUGGUAGUGGGGGAUAACGUCCGGAAACGGGCGCUAAUACCGCAUAUGUCCUGAGGGAGAAAGUGGGGGAUCUUCGGACCUCACGCUAUCAGAUGAGCCUAGGUCGGAUUAGCUAGUUGGUGGGGUAAAGGCCUACCAAGGCGACGAUCCGUAACUGGUCUGAGAGGAUGAUCAGUCACACUGGAACUGAGACACGGUCCAGACUCCUACGGGAGGCAGCAGUGGGGAAUAUUGGACAAUGGGCGAAAGCCUGAUCCAGCCAUGCCGCGUGUGUGAAGAAGGUCUUCGGAUUGUAAAGCACUUUAAGUUGGGAGGAAGGGCAGUAAGUUAAUACCUUGCUGUUUUGACGUUACCAACAGAAUAAGCAUCGGCUAACUUCGUGCCAGCAGCCGCGGUAAUACGAAGGGUGCAAGCGUCAAUCGGAAUUACCGGGCGUAAAGCGCGCGUAGGUGGUUCAGCAAGUUGGAUGUGAAAUCCCCGGGCUCAACCUGGGAACUGCAUCCAAAACUACUGAGCUAGAGUACGGUAGAGGGUGGUGGAAUUUCCUGUGUAGCGGUGAAAUGCGUAGAUAUAGGAAGGAACACCAGUGGCGAAGGCGACCACCUGGACUGAUACUGACACUGAGGCGCGAAAGCGUGGGGAGCAAACAGGAUUAGAUACCCUGGUAGUCCACGCCGUAAACGAUGUCGACUAGCCGUUGGGAUCCUUGAGAUCUUAGUGGCGCAGCUAACGCGAUAAGUCGACCGCCUGGGGAGUACGGCCGCAAGGUUAAAACUCAAAUGAAUUGACGGGGGCCCGCACAAGCGGUGGAGCAUGUGGUUUAAAUCGAAGCAACGCGAAGAACCUUACCUGGCCUUGACAUGCUGAGAACUUUCCAGAGAUGGAUUGGUGCCUUCGGGAACUCAGACACAGGUGCUGCAUGGCUGUCGUCAGCUCGUGUCGUGAGAUGUUGGUUAAGUCCCGUAACGAGCGCAACCCUUGUCCUUAGUUACCAGCACCUCGGGUGGGCACUCUAAGGAGACUGCCGGUGACAAACCGGAGGAAGGUGGGGAUGACGCCAAGUCAUCAUGGCCCUUACGGCCAGGGCUACACACGUGCUACAAUGGUCGGUACAAAGGGUUGCCAAGCCGCGAGGUGGAGCUAAUCCCAUAAAACCGAUCGUAGUCCGGAUCGCAGUCUGCAACUCGACUGCGUGAAGUCGGAAUCGCUAGUAAUCGUGAAUCAGAAUGUCACGGUGAAUACGUUCCCGGGCCUUGUACACACCGCCCG
rnacentral:rRNA from 1 species